rnacentral:rRNA from 1 species
UACGUAGGGGGCAAGCGUUGUCCGGAAUUACUGGGCGUAAAGCGUGCGCAGGCGGUUGUGUAAGUCAGAUGUGAAAUCCCCGGGCUCAACCUGGGAAUUGCAUUUGAGACUGCACGGCUAGAGUGUGUCAGAGGGGGGUAGAAUUCCACGUGUAGCAGUGAAAUGCGUAGAGAUGUGGAGGAAUACCGAUGGCGAAGGCAGCCCCCUGGGAUAACACUGACGCUCAUGCACGAAAGCGUGGGGAGCAAACAGG